rnacentral:tRNA from 2 species
GUCCCAAUAGCUCAGCUGGAUAGAGCAACGCCCUUCUAAGGCGUCGGUCGGGGGUUCGAAUCCCUCUUGGGACACUA